rnacentral:pre_miRNA from 1 species
CUUCCUGUGCAGGUGGGGAUUAGUAGCAAUGCUGUGUACCAGAAGGUAUUGCACUUGUCCCGGCCUGUAUAGGAAAA